rnacentral:misc_RNA from 1 species
UAAAUUCAUCGGUUACACCCCAAUAGAUGGGAGUGUCGUCUUCCUGGUCCGUGCCCGUGGGUCCGUGCCGUCAACCUCGUCAAGGAUGGGGCUCCCGCCGAACAUGGCAAUCGUCGAACGAUAAUUCAAGCGACCGUGCAGCCUCUGACUCACGUUGGACUGAACGCUGUCUCACGAAUUGGAAAUCAUAUCCCGCUCUCUCCUGUCGGUCGGCCCUCACGAGACACGGAGCUCUCUCAACAUGAUCGUCUUUGGCCUGUGAGGGGCCCGACUUUCCUGGACAGCAGGGUGCACUUUUCACGGCCCAGGAAUCCCGCUUACGCAUUUAUCAGCGUAGCAACAUGCCUGGGCCACCACCGCCGCCGCCACCAAUGUUUAACGCGCCAUCUCCUGCUGCCGGCGAGCAAGGCAGGAAUGUACUGCUGCAGUCAAUAAGGGCAGGGAAGACAUUGAAGAAGACCGUGACAGUGGAUAAAAGUAGUCCAGCGGUUUGUGGAAGGGUGAAGGGUGAGAGUUCGAACCCUAGUACAACACUCAAUGGUAGCAACAGCUCGUCGAGUAUUACCAGCAGUAGUAGCAAUAAUGGCGGUCCGGUGGGAUUGGGGGGUCUUUUUACUGGGACAAUGCCAAAGUUGAAACCAACCGGGCUCAGGGCGAAUCGGAUCGAACGCGACUCCAGCAACACGAGUUUCUCCCCAUCAACUCCGAGCCCGGCACCCAGUGUGAAACGUGGCCCACCGCCUGUGCCGCCACCAGCUACUCAAAAACCACAAGUAUUUCCCCAGGCUCCGAGCACCGUGGAGUCGACGGUUAGCAACCAUGAAGCACCUCGAGGGUUCGGCAAGCCUACCCUCGCUCCGAAGCCGCCUGUCCCGCCAUCGAUGGUGCCACAGAAGCCGUCGCCGCCGCCGAAGAAGCUCAACCUGAUGACCGGCGUCAGCGUGUCCAGGGCGCACAGUAUGCGGCUGCCCCGCUCCCCGCCAGUCCUAGCACCGACUCCACCGUCCCUGCACCAGUCCCAGGACUACCUGAACGAGCCUCAACAGCGACCAGGGAAUCGCGUGUUAAGGCCUCCGGUAGUCAGGCCCCCUUCGCCUCCGUCUUCCAGGGUGACCGUCACGAGACCGGCGCCUCCACCUCCAAGAAACCCCCCCAGCAUACCGCCCCCCUUGCCGCCGCUUCCCCAUCGCUCUGCCACGCCGCAGCAGAGGGUGACAUCGGUGUCUGCGCCGCCGACGCCUCCCACGAGGAGUUCCUCGAUGCGUACCGAGCAGUCCUCGAUUGACCUGGAGGCCAGGUUCGCGGAGAUGUUCCACUCGAUCGCUGAUUUCCCUCAGCCCGAGCCCUUCCGCAACGUCCCGAAAGUCUACAACAGCAGAAACGGUGAGCCCCAGGCCAGGAGCCAACCCCAGACCCUCCUCAACUUCUUCUUGAAGCAGUACAGCUCCGAGUUCAAGGUGUAGCCCCUCUCGCUUUGCCGCCACCUCCGUGGGACUAACCCUGGAAACGAGGAUCUCGCCUUCGGGUCCUUAUCGCGAACCUCCCUCCUUAUCCGACUGCACGCUUUCUCGCACUUAACUCUACUUUUUCUUACGAAGCUCUUCCGCAUCCUCGGAUGCAAUUCCGUAUUAACUCUCGGCGUAUGUCGCCGACUCUUUCUCUUCCGCGAGGGCUUAGUCAUCGCGCCCGUUUAAUGGCCUCGACUACUAACUCGAUGCAUCCGCAAAGCUGCAUUAAUCCGUCGCAAGGGGAAGACCGGAUGCUUCCCGGCGAUGUGGAGCGUUAAAAUCGCAUGCCAAGCUUAGCUCCGUCUCUCUAGACCCUCUGCACACUCUUUGCCACACGAAGCGCAACCGGGAGCGGAGUUGCCGCACACUUUUGAGUUUACUUUUUUCGCACCCGCGCCCAGUGGCCUCCACGCUGAGUCGAGGUGUGCGAAGCAUGUGUUGUUUGAAAUAUUGCGAAGCAACAGGCUCCACCACCGCCUCGGCCGUCGAGUUCUACGCCCAACACGAUGCUGCGGCUCAGCAGCUCCUCCGGGGGGAAACAAUGGCAACAGGCAGCUUCCUCGGCGUG